rnacentral:rRNA from 1 species
UACGGAGGUUCCAAGCGUUGUUCGGAAUUACUGGGCGUAAAGGGAGCGCAGGCGGGCAAGUCAGUCUGAAGUGAAAUCCCGGGGCUCAACCUCGGACUUGCUUCGGAUACUGCUUGUCUUGAGUUCGUGAUAGGAAGACGGAAUUCAGGGUGUAGCGGUGAAAUGCACAGAUAUCCUGAGGAACACCGGUGGCGAAAGCGGUCUUCUGGCGCGAAACUGACGCUGAGGCUCGAAAGCGUGGGUAGCAAACGGGAUUAGAUACCCUGGUAGU